rnacentral:lncRNA from 1 species
UUGAAGGUGUGGAUCUUUCUAGCUUUUUGAUCAUUUUUCAUUGUAAAUUUUUCUCAACUAGAUCUUCUAGAAAUUAUCAGAUCUUGUUGGAUUCUUUAUACAUGAAUUGAUCCAGGCACACAGACUCUAGCAUAGUUCUAAAAUUUGAGUCUAGCCCCUCGUAGACUAUUUGACACGACCUCUAGAUCUUUAUUCCAUGGUAUGGGCAUUGGAUCAAGAAGUUCU